GCCUGGGUGGCUCAGUCGGUUAAGCUUCUGAUUUCAGCUCAGGUCAUGAUCUCUCGGUUCAUGAGUUCGAGCCCCACCUUGGGCU
rnacentral:tRNA from 1 species